UUCUUGUUCAAGUGAAGAAAUUUGUUGAAAGAAAAGAGAUGGGUGAUGUGCAGUCAAUACUACCACGGGAGAUUAUUUAGGCCUGUUGCACACUGUCAAUGGUCAGAUGGUAGGAAGAUCAGAAGCUGAAAAUGUGUACAUGGGCAAAUGAUUUUCAAAGGAUCACGAUAACAUGAAUUGUUGUCGCAUUUGCUUAAAUGGUUUCAUAGAGAAUCCCAUUGACAACUAUGAGUUUUGGAUAUAUUGAGAGCUUAAUGCAGUCCUCAGAAAAGAAUUCAAGAAGCAAAGGGCACUGGCUAAAAAAGGCUCUGUAGGAUGGAAAGGUACGGCACUGAGAAAGAAGAAAUAGAUUUGCUAUCAAAGAAGCUCUUAAUAAAAGUAAUUUCGCAUUUGGAGUCGUUGAUCAUCAACUAAAGUUGUGUCUUCACGUUCCCCAACCAACCUUUCAGAAACGAAAGACGAAAGGAGUACUAAGCGAUUCAAUCGUUUUAUCAAACUUUCAUAUUUGCAACUGUGCACAGUUGAAUAUUUAUCAAUCUUGCUUAGAACUUGAAGCAUAAAAUUGCCUUAACAGGUUUGAUAGAGUGGAAUCUUUAAAAAAACAAUCGAAAAUGGAAAGUGCUGGUUGCCAUCUCCAGAUGUUUCUGAACCAGAGCAUUUAGGGAGGACACGGGAUCUAAAGCAUAGUGAUGCAAUCUCUUUUGAAGAGAGAAAAAAUAACCAUAUAUUGUUUUUCAGAUAUGAAAGUAGGCACGACAAAAACGUUGAUAUGGAAGCUGUUCAUCUGUUUAGAUAGAUCCACAUAAGUUUAAUCUCUUUAUAUAAGUUG